rnacentral:rRNA from 1 species
GGUUAAGCGACUAAGCGUACACGGUGGAUGCCCUGGCAGUCAGAGGCGAUGAAGGACGUGCUAAUCUGCGAUAAGCGUCGGUAAGGUGAUAUGAACCGUUAUAACCGGCGAUUUCCGAAUGGGGAAACCCAGUGUGUUUCGACACACUAUCAUUAACUGAAUCCAUAGGUUAAUGAGGCGAACCGGGGGAACUGAAACAUCUAAGUACCCCGAGGAAAAGAAAUCAACCGAGAUUCCCCCAGUAGCGGCGAGCGAACGGGGAGCAGCCCAGAGCCUGAAUCAGUGUGUGUGUUAGUGGAAGCGUCUGGAAAGGCGCGCGAUACAGGGUGACAGCCCCGUACACAAAAAUGCACAUAUUGUGAGCUCGAUGAGUAGGGCGGGACACGUGGUAUCCUGUCUGAAUAUGGGGGGACCAUCCUCCAAGGCUAAAUACUCCUGACUGACCGAUAGUGAACCAGUACCGUGAGGGAAAGGCGAAAAGAACCCCGGCGAGGGGAGUGAAAAAGAACCUGAAACCGUGUACGUACAAGCAGUGGGAGCACGCUUAGGCGUGUGACUGCGUACCUUUUGUAUAAUGGGUCAGCGACUUAUAUUCUGUAGCAAGGUUAACCGAAUAGGGGAGCCGAAGGGAAACCGAGUCUUAACUGGGCGUUAAGUUGCAGGGUAUAGACCCGAAACCCGGUGAUCUAGCCAUGGGCAGGUUGAAGGUUGGGUAACACUAACUGGAGGACCGAACCGACUAAUGUUGAAAAAUUAGCGGAUGACUUGUGGCUGGGGGUGAAAGGCCAAUCAAACCGGGAGAUAGCUGGUUCUCCCCGAAAGCUAUUUAGGUAGCGCCUCGUGAAUUCAUCUCCGGGGGUAGAGCACUGUUUCGGCAAGGGGGUCAUCCCGACUUACCAACCCGAUGCAAACUGCGAAUACCGGAGAAUGUUAUCACGGGAGACACACGGCGGGUGCUAACGUCCGUCGUGAAGAGGGAAACAACCCAGACCGCCAGCUAAGGUCCCAAAGUCAUGGUUAAGUGGGAAACGAUGUGGGAAGGCCCAGACAGCCAGGAUGUUGGCUUAGAAGCAGCCAUCAUUUAAAGAAAGCGUAAUAGCUCACUGGUCGAGUCGGCCUGCGCGGAAGAUGUAACGGGGCUAAACCAUGCACCGAAGCUGCGGCAGCGACGCUUAUGCGUUGUUGGGUAGGGGAGCGUUCUGUAAGCCUGCGAAGGUGUGCUGUGAGGCAUGCUGGAGGUAUCAGAAGUGCGAAUGCUGACAUAAGUAACGAUAAAGCGGGUGAAAAGCCCGCUCGCCGGAAGACCAAGGGUUCCUGUCCAACGUUAAUCGGGGCAGGGUGAGUCGACCCCUAAGGCGAGGCCGAAAGGCGUAGUCGAUGGGAAACAGGUUAAUAUUCCUGUACUUGGUGUUACUGCGAAGGGGGGACGGAGAAGGCUAUGUUGGCCGGGCGACGGUUGUCCCGGUUUAAGCGUGUAGGCUGGUUUUCCAGGCAAAUCCGGAAAAUCAAGGCUGAGGCGUGAUGACGAGGCACUACGGUGCUGAAGCAACAAAUGCCCUGCUUCCAGGAAAAGCCUCUAAGCAUCAGGUAACAUCAAAUCGUACCCCAAACCGACACAGGUGGUCAGGUAGAGAAUACCAAGGCGCUUGAGAGAACUCGGGUGAAGGAACUAGGCAAAAUGGUGCCGUAACUUCGGGAGAAGGCACGCUGAUAUGUAGGUGAAGUCCCUCGCGGAUGGAGCUGAAAUCAGUCGAAGAUACCAGCUGGCUGCAACUGUUUAUUAAAAACACAGCACUGUGCAAACACGAAAGUGGACGUAUACGGUGUGACGCCUGCCCGGUGCCGGAAGGUUAAUUGAUGGGGUCAGCGCAAGCGAAGCUCUUGAUCGAAGCCCCGGUAAACGGCGGCCGUAACUAUAACGGUCCUAAGGUAGCGAAAUUCCUUGUCGGGUAAGUUCCGACCUGCACGAAUGGCGUAAUGAUGGCCAGGCUGUCUCCACCCGAGACUCAGUGAAAUUGAACUCGCUGUGAAGAUGCAGUGUACCCGCGGCAAGACGGAAAGACCCCGUGAACCUUUACUAUAGCUUGACACUGAACAUUGAGCCUUGAUGUGUAGGAUAGGUGGGAGGCUUUGAAGUGUGGACGCCAGUCUGCAUGGAGCCGACCUUGAAAUACCACCCUUUAAUGUUUGAUGUUCUAACGUUGACCCGUGAUCCGGGUUGCGGACAGUGUCUGGUGGGUAGUUUGACUGGGGCGGUCUCCUCCUAAAGAGUAACGGAGGAGCACGAAGGUUGGCUAAUCCUGGUCGGACAUCAGGAGGUUAGUGCAAUGGCAUAAGCCAGCUUGACUGCGAGCGUGACGGCGCGAGCAGGUGCGAAAGCAGGUCAUAGUGAUCCGGUGGUUCUGAAUG